AUUUAAAUAGCUUAAAAUAUAAAGUGUAACACUGAAGAUGUUAAGAUGAUAAUAUUUGUCUUUAAAUA
rnacentral:tRNA from 1 species